GACGAACGCUGGCGGCGUGCUUAACACAUGCAAGUCGAACGGAAAGGCCCUGCUUUUGUGGGUUGCUCGAGUGGCGAACGGGUGAGUAACACGUGAGUAACCUGCCCUUGACUUUGGGAUAACUUCAGGAAACUGGGGCUAAUACCGGAUAGGAGCUCCUGCUGCAUGGUGGGGGUUGGAAAGUUUCGGCGGUUGGGGAUGGACUCGCGGCUUAUCAGCUUGUUGGUGGGGUAGUGGCUUACCAAGGCUUUGACGGGUAGCCGGCCUGAGAGGGUGACCGGCCACAUAGGGACUGAGAGACGGCACAGACUCCUACGGGAGGCAGCAGUGGGGAAUAUUGAACAAUGGGCGGAAGCCUGAUGCAGCAACGAAGCGUGCGGGAUGACGGCCUUCGGGUUGUAAACCGCUUUCGCCUGUGACGAAGCGUGAGUGACGGUAAUGGGUAAAGAAGCACCGGCUAACUACGUG
rnacentral:rRNA from 1 species